UGUCCCUGAAGAAGCAAGACCACAGAAAAGGUAGUGUAGGUAUCUUUUAUCUCUUAAAUCAUGUUUCCUUGUUUAUUCUGCUUUGUUUUGGGUGUAUUUUACAUAGCAUAUUAAAUAAACUAAGCCGAUGAAACUGUUAAUGUUAAUUGAAUUCUAUAAUCUUUUUCAAAAUAGUAUAAGAUCAUGUUAAUUGAAGUCAACAUACUAAACAUUUUUUCCUGUCAAAAUCACAUCGAAACUUUACUAAACUAAUCGUGGUGCACGUGCACACAACCACAGAUUACAGGAAUUUUAUUACUCACUAAACAAAAGUUGCAUCCCUAUUGCAGGCUUUGCUGCUGGGGAUAAUCUUACAUUACUCCUAUGGUCAAGAACUAUUUGCAGGCUGAAUCAAAAUAUUUAUUUAUGCUCUCGCAUUUAUCAGUAGCUCUACUGUUUAUGGCCGAAUUCUAAUCAUGGCGUGGAUCAGGACCACCAGGACUCCUUCGCUUCGACACAAAAUGCUGUCCAACCUGCCUCUCAAUGCUAGCCUUAAGCACUUCUUUAGCACUCUCCAUCGCUGUCCGGCUGUUACCCUUGUUUGAGUACGAGCCACAAACACGAGCUUCGUUAUUCUGAAGGGAAAGCAAAACAAGAAAAACACAUAACCAGAGUUUCAUGCUACCCAUUAUCAAUUUGAAGUCUCAAUGUAGGAUGUUUGGACAUAUAUGUAUAUAUAGACUAUCAUUCCUGUUAUGAUUUGAUAAUUAAAAGUGAAUGGAAUCAAAUGUGGGAUUAGUUUGAUUUGGUGAUCAUUUUCUGAUGCAAUUAAAUCG
rnacentral:lncRNA from 1 species